rnacentral:lncRNA from 1 species
GUCGGACUUUAAAAACAACUUACUGGAUUUGUAGAAAUUGUCAUUGUAAAUAAAAAAUUACAGUAAAUAAAUUGUAUGUUAUAAAUGUAUGUAAUAAAUGUCCUCAACUUUUAUUAUUUAGUACAUAUUACUAGUCCCAUCGUACAUUGCUUUUUUUCAUGUAACAAUAACGCAAUGUAACCGUAGCCUCAAUAAUUAUUGUUACAUUCGUAAUUAAACAGGUCCUUACCCAACCAUGCAUUCCGGC